UACGGAGGGGGCUAGCGUUGUUCGGAAUUACUGGGCGUAAAGCGCACGUAGGCGGCUUGGUAAGUUAGAGGUGAAAGCCUGGAGCUCAACUCCAGAAUUGCCUUUAAGACUGCCGAGCUAGCAGGUGAGAGAGGUGAGUGGAAUUCCGAGUGUAGAGGUGAAAUUCGUAGAUAUUCGGAAGAACACCAGUGGCGAGGGCGGCUCACUGGCUCAUACUGGACGCUGAGGUGCGAAAGCGUGGGGAGCAAACAGG
rnacentral:rRNA from 1 species